UUGCGAACGGCUCAUUAGAGCAGCUUUUAUUCUCUUCGGUAUUUCAAUGGAUAACUGCGGCAAUUCUGGAGCUAAUACACGCAUCAAAUCCCCGACUUCGGAAGGGGUGCGGUUAUUAGAACAGACCAAUCGUCUUCGGACGUGGUUGUUGACUCUGAAUAACGUAGCAUAUCGCCGGUUUACCCGGCGACGACCGAAAGAAGUGUCUGCCCUAUCAACCAGAUGGUAGCCUAUUAGACUACCAUGGUUAUAACGGGUAACGGAGAAUCAGGGUUCGACUCCGGAGAGGGAGCCUUAGAAACGGCUACCACAUCCAAGGAAGGCAGCAAGCGCGUAACCUAUCCACUACUUUUGUGAGAUAGGGACGAAAAAUAAAAAGGCCAAUCCUUUGGAUUGGUUAUUUCAAUGAUUUGAGCCCAAAUAGCUCUUUGAUGACCCAGUGGAGGGCAAGUCUGGUGCCAGCAGCCGCGGUAAUUCCAGCU
rnacentral:rRNA from 1 species